rnacentral:rRNA from 1 species
UGGGGAAUAUUGGACAAUGGGCGAAAGCCUGAUCCAGCCAUGCCGCGUGUGUGAAGAAGGUCUUCGGAUUGUAAAGCACUUUAAGUUGGGAGGAAGGGCAUUAACCUAAUACGUUAGUGUUUUGACGUUACCGACAGAAUAAGCACCGGCUAACUCUGUGCCAGCAGCCGCGGUAAUACAGAGGGUGCAAGAGUUAAUCGGAAUUACUGGGCGUAAAGCGCGCGUAGGUGGUUUGUUAAGUUGGAUGUGAAAUCCCCGGGCUCAACCUGGGAACUGCAUUCAAAACUGACUGACUAGAGUAUGGUAGAGGGUGGUGGAAUUUCCUGUGUAGCGGUGAAAUGCGUAGAUAUAGGAAGGAACACCAGUGGCGAAGGCGACCACCUGGACUAAUACUGACACUGAGGUGCGAAAGCGUGGGGAGCAAACA